GAUGAACGCUGGCGGCGUGCUUAACACAUGCAAGUCGAACGAUGAAGCCCAGCUUGCUGGGUGGAUUAGUGGCGAACGGGUGAGUAACACGUGAGUAACCUGCCCUUAACUCUGGGAUAAGCCUGUGAAACUGGGUCUAAUACCGGAUAGGAGCGCCUACCGCAUGGUGGGUUUUGGAAAGAUUUAUCGGUUUUGGAUGGACUCGCGGCCUAUCAGCUUUUUGGUGAGGUAAUGGCUCACCAAGGCGACGACGGGUAGCCGGCCUGAGAGGGUGACCGGCGACAAUGGGACUGAGACACGGCCCAGACUCCUACGGGAGGCAGAAGUGGGGAAUAUUGCACAAUGGGCGAGAGCGUGAUGCAGAGACGCAGCGUGAGGGAUAACGGCCUUCGGGGUGUAAACAUCUUUGAGUAGGGAAGAAGAGAAAGUGACGGUACCUGCAGAAGAAGCACCGGCUAACUACGUG
rnacentral:rRNA from 1 species